CUUAUGGCUGAGCAGAUAACACAAUAAUGACCUGUAGGAAACCCCCGCAGGAUGUAUCCUGGGGAGAAAGUGGACAGUGUCUGGAUUUCUUGAUGGUUCUUCACUUGGAAAUGUUACUCAGAAACAUGUUGUUAUUCAGGUGCAGAGAAUAUGUUUGCUGCUUUGCAUGUACCGUAGCUUCAAGGAAAGAUCUUCUAUGGUCCCUUGUCUUGUAUCAAAAGUUGAUGGUGUUUCCUACAGGAAUGCUAAGCUCUGUGUGUUUACUAUCCUGAUAAGUGACUAAUAUUCUAAUCUUCUAUCCUAAUAGAAGACUAAUAUUCUAUCCAAUCCCCCAAGUACUGGCAAUCAGUUCCCAUGUUGUGCAUCAUGUUUUGUGAACUUGUUUCAGUAACUCCCCAUGAAUUACCAGUAGAGCUGAUGCNNNNNNNNNNNNNNNNNNNNUCAAGCUACUGCUCUCCUGCCUUAAGGCUUUCCUGUGCAAGGUCAGAUGGAGAGCCUGGAGGAGAGGGCAGGCAUCAGUUUGGAGCAAGCCUAGCCAUCUCUUCUCAGCUUUGCCAAGACAACCACUCUGCUGCGGGGAGAGCCAAGCUGUCUGUUUGUGAACUUCCUGAGUUCAGGAGUAACCAAAUGAGAUAAUGGAAAACAAUUCUACUGAUGGCUAUGAAAUACCAAUACGAAGAACACCUCUCUGGCUCCUGAAAUCAUCCGUGAACUUUGUUAAAGUGGUUUAAGGAGAAACAAGAUGGGAAAAAGAAGAUAAAGGUAAAUGGAAAUGGCUGGGUUGGUAAAAUCCCUCUACUUUAAAAGUGAUCUGCAAAAGAGGGGCAGGUGGAUUAACCUUUGUUUACAGUGAUGUGCCAGAGAGGUGCUUUUUUUCUUCUCUGAAUCUCGCCUUUAAUCGACUUCUGUUACCAGUCCUCAUGUGCUCCUGUGAAGUGAUUUGAAUGAGGGUAAGAGAGAGCCUGGGAUGCCUGCAGGUAGGAGAGAAAAAGAUCAAUAAUUGCAGGUAGAUAGGUAUUGUUCUGCAAUAAUACAAAGUACAACCAGCCAACUCUGUGUGAUCUGCUCUAGCUUUGUCAGGCACCAUGAACCUCCCUUGGACCUUCGUGUUCGUGUGUGUGGCAUGGGCAGAAAAGGGAUGAAAUGAAAGAUUAAUGUCAGAGCUGCAGAAGGAAAGAAUGAAAAGGUCUGGAAGUGUUUUUUGUUCUGUUUUUUCCUCAUUCUGCAAUGCUCUUUGAAGUAUCCGAACGGUCUCCUCUGACCAAGUAGUCGCAUCGAUAUGACUGUAUCAUCUGUCCGGUGACGUCAGUACUGAUUUGCCUUUGGGUAACACUUCUCAGAAAGGGAAAUUUAAUCUAUUGGAUUACUUUUCCAAGUAAUUUUGCGGUUAAAAAAAAGUACAAAGAUGAAAGCUUCACAAGGCCAGCAUUUGCUUUUACUUAUGACAUCCUUUAAAGCAAAGGUUAGCCAUCUGGUCAGAGAGUCCAAGUAGGGCCAAGGUUCAAAACUGAAAGUAGCAGCCCUGCAAAAGUGUGCCGGUCAUACGUGUAAGCAAGAGCUGUGUUUCAAGCUAUGAAAAAUCUGAACUGGUACGAGCAUCUGUAAGGGCUUGGGGGCUGGCUAUUUUGGGCUAUUU
rnacentral:lncRNA from 1 species